GAGGGUGUAGCUCAAGUGGUAGAGCGCAUGCUUAGCAUGCACGAGGUCCUGGGUUCAAUCCCCUGUACCUCCU
rnacentral:tRNA from 1 species